GUCCUCAGGAAAUGACAAACAUGUGGGGCGUAAGCAAUAUUUACAUUCUAUAAAGAAAAAGUGGAUUGUAAUGCUUUAUAGAAUGCGUAUCCAUAAUAUUGUAAUCGUGCGGACGUUAAAAUCAUGU
rnacentral:ribozyme from 1 species